AUGAUACAGACAGAUCUACAGAGCACGGGGGAGGCAUCCUCUGGUGGAAGGGACCACAGCCUAAACAAGCAUGCAGCAGCAUUUGCUCUGAAGAUCCGCGAGAGAUGCUGCUUAUCUCAGGACAAUGUCAACAGUGUUAUUGUUGAUGUCCAACAGUACCAAGCCUCCCUUCUAGACCGCCUGAGAGACCAGACCAAGAAUGCUUUUGAAACCCAUGUUGAAAGGGAGGAGCUCCAAACAGCGAUCCUAGCAGUAUUUGAUGAUUUCAAAGACCCCUUUUCAGAGGUUUCAUCUACACAUCUACAGGACAGA